UAGGGAAUCUUCCGCAAUGGACGAAAGUCUGACGGAGCAACGCCGCGGGAGUGAAGAAGGAUUUCGGUUCGUAAAACUCUGUUGGUAGGGAAGAAAAAAUGUAUAGUAACUAUAUACAAAAGAGACGGUACCGAAAAAGCAAGCCACGGCUAACUACGUGCCAGCAGCCGCGGUAAUACGGAGGUGGCAAGCGUUGUCCGGAAUUAUUGGGCGUAAAGCGCGCGCAGGCGGUCACUUAAGUCCAUCUUAGAAGUGCGGGGCUUAACCCCGUGAUGGGAUGGAAACUGGGAGACUGGAGUAUCGGAGAAGAAAGUGGAAUUCCUAGUGUAGCGGUGAAAUGCGUAGAUAUUAGGAAGAACACCGGUGGCGAAGGCGACUUUCUGGACGAAAACUGACGCUGAGGCGCGAAAGCGUGGGGAGCAAACAGG
rnacentral:rRNA from 1 species